AGUCCGCUUUGUACAAGCCAUGGUAUAGAGGCUUCCUUAUUUACCUCCCUUAUCCUUCAGCUGGAGCUCUGCGAGCCAGAGGCAGCGCUGGCGUUGGAGAGUGAUGGCGGCAUGGCGGUGCGGCGGCGGCUGCGAACACCUUGAGGACGGGUCGCAUUAUGUUGCCCAGGCUGGACUUGAACUUCUGGGCUCGAGCAAUUCUCCCACCUCAGCCUACCAAGCAGCUGGGACUACAGGUCUGCACCACUGCACCCCACCCAUUCAAGUCCACAUCCCCAGAAACGAGGAUAAUGCUUGGCACAAGGUGUUUAUAAUUCCCUUGGUUUUCUUCACAAUUUCACCACAUAAAUGUUUUGAUGACAAGCUUAAAAAAUUUUUUGCUGAGUGGCUGGCAAGAUGGCCCAAUAGGAACAGCUCCAGCCUGCAGCUCCCAGUGAGAUCAACGCAGAAGAAUUCUUCCAACUUUUAAAUGGAACACAAGUGUCCUUUUAAGGUAAUAACACCUUAUUGUGAGCACUAUUUUAGAAAGUGAUGCACAAAUUGGGAGCUCUUCCGCAGGAUCACCUGAGGUCCAUUGUGCACCCAACACUCUUUUAGAUGGGAACCAAAGUCUCCUCUACAUUUCAGCAAAGAAACUGGGAACUGUAUAUCCCAGAAUCCCCUUCCCUGAGUAGUCCUGGGUUUGAAUUUGCCAAUGAAAGAAACUUGGAAGAAAAUAAUUAUUCUCUGGAUAUGGUUGCAGCCAGAUGUGUGGUCAGAGGUGAGUGCUUGAGAACCACCAGUUUAGUGGUUUUAGUCCGAGUUUGUUCAUAAGACCUUUCUAGAGACACCAGAGAAUUGCAGCAACUUCCAGAUAAGACCUUCAACCAACCACUUCAGUGCUUUAGGCUGAGAUGACUUCUUUGACUUUCAGAGGCAGGACCCCUAAAUGUUGGUAGAAGCUUCUCUAUCUCUGUUCUUCUGUUUUCCAACAGAAGUAUAAACCCCUAAUUCUUUAUUAUGUGCAUCCUUAAGAUCCAUGAUACACAGGGUGGUCUCUGUUUUCCUGAUGAACCACAACUGACUCAAUACUAAUGGUGUCAGUGAGACAGUCAGAAAUAUUUAUGUAGUUACCUAUUCAAAUAUUGGAAUAACUACUUAUAAUUCAUGAAAUUUACUCAAUUUCAGGAAGCCAAUGUUUAGAGGAUUUUUUCUAUAUCCUUUUCCAAUUUACCCAAAGGUGUCAGCAUUACUGAAGUCACAAAGACCUUGGCCAGUGUAUGUAAAUUGAACUUUGAAAAAAAA
ensembl:lncRNA LINC01205 long intergenic non-protein coding RNA 1205